UACGUAGGUGACCAGCGUUGUCCGGAUUUACUGGGCGUAAAGAGCGCGCAGGCGGUCGUUCAAGUCGAGUGUGAAAGCCCCCGGCUCAACUGGGGAGGGUCAUUUGAUACUGAUCGACUCGAAGGCAGGAGAGGGAAGUGGAAUUCCCGGUGUAGUGGUGAAAUGCGUAGAUAUCAAGCGGAACACCAGUGGCGAAGGCGAGUCCCUGGACAACUCCUGACACUGAGGCACGAAAGCUAGGGGAGCAAACAGG
rnacentral:rRNA from 1 species